GUUUGAUGGAAAACAAGAAUGGCGGAGUUUGCGUUCUCCAGUCGCAUGAUAGGAGCCGCCCUUUGCUUUGUUGACAGCACUGCAGACCCUCGGCCUUCUUUCUGUGAGCUUCAUGAUGUCGUCACCUGAGAUGGUUUCACCUCACAGGUGUGCCUGUCAGGGGUCAUUGGUGGAGUUUCUUGCCUUCUUAAUGAGGUUGGGACCAUCAGCAGGACAAUGAGCCCAAACACACCUCCAGACUGCGUCAGGG